rnacentral:rRNA from 1 species
UGGCGGCAGGCCUAACACAUGCAAGUCGAGCGGUAGAGAGAAGCUUGCUUCUCUUGAGAGCGGCGGACGGGUGAGUAAUGCCUAGGAAUCUGCCUGGUAGUGGGGGAUAACGUUCGGAAACGGACGCUAAUACCGCAUACGUCCUACGGGAGAAAGCAGGGGACCUUCGGGCCUUGCGCUAUCAGAUGAGCCUAGGUCGGAUUAGCUAGUUGGUGAGGUAAUGGCUCACCAAGGCGACGAUCCGUAACUAGUCUGAGAGGAUGAUCAGUCACACUGGAACUGAGACACGGUCCAGACUCCUACGGGAGGCAGCAGUGGGGAAUAUUGGACAAUGGGCGAAAGCCUGAUCCAGCCAUGCCGCGUGUGUGAAGAAGGUCUUCGGAUUGUAAAGCACUUUAAGUUGGGAGGAAGGGUUGUAGAUUAAUACUCUGCAAUUUUGACGUUACCGACAGAAUAAGCACCGGCUAACUCUGUGCCAGCAGCCGCGGUAAUACAGAGGGUGCAAGCGUUAAUCGGAAUUACUGGGCGUAAAGCGCGCGUAGGUGGUUUGUUAAGUUGGAUGUGAAAUCCCCGGGCUCAACCUGGGAACUGCAUUCAAAACUGACUGACUAGAGUAUGGUAGAGGGUGGUGGAGUUUCCUGUGUAGCGGUGAAAUGCGUAGAUAUAGGAAGGAACACCAGUGGCGAAGGCGACCACCUGGACUAAUACUGACACUGAGGUGCGAAAGCGUGGGGAGCAAACAGGAUUAGAUACCCUGGUAGUCC